GGACAAGGUUAGCGGCGGCACGGGUGAAUAACACGUGGGUAACCUGCCUGUAAGACUGGGAUAACAUUCGGAAACGAAUGCUAAUACCGGAUACGCGGCUUGGUCGCAUGACCGAACCGGGAAAGAUGGAGCAAUCUAUCACUUAUAGAUGGACCCGCGGCGCAUUAGCUAGUUGGUGAGGUAACGGCUCACCAAGGCGACGAUGCGUAGCCGACCUGAGAGGGUGAUCGGCCACACUGGGACUGAGACACGGCCCAGACUCCUACGGGAGGCAGCAGUAGGGAAUCUUCCGCAAUGGACGAAAGUCUGACGGAGCAACGCCGCGUGAGUGAUGAAGGUUUUCGGAUCGUAAAGCUCUGUUGCCAGGGAAGAAUGCUUGGGAGAGUAACUGCUCUCAAGGUGACGGUACCUGAGAAGAAAGCCCCGGCUAACUACGUGCCAGCAGCCGCGGUAAUACGUAGGGGGCAAGCGUUGUCCGGAAUUAUUGGGCGUAAAGCGCGCGCANGCGGCCUUGUAAGUCUGUUGUUUAAAACUUGGGGCUUA
rnacentral:rRNA from 1 species